CCCUUAGAUGUUCUGGGCCGCACGCGUGCUACGCUGAGUGGAUCAGCGGGUCAGGUUGCGCGAAAGCGUUUCCUAAUCUUUAAAUCUGCUCGUGAUGGGGAUUGACGGUUGCAAUUUUCUGUCAUGAACGAGGAAUACCUUGUAAGCGCGGGUCAUCAUCCCGCGCUGAAUACGUCCCUGCCCUUUGUACACACCGCCCGUCGCUCCUACCGAUUGAGUGGUCCGGUGAGGCUUUGGGAUCUGAGCGGAAAGAGCGUUUCGCUGUUUCUGCUCGGAAAACUCAGUCGAACCUUAUCAUUUAGAGGAAGGAGAAGUCGUAACA
rnacentral:rRNA from 1 species